AGUGAACGCUGGCGGUAGGCCUAACACAUGCAAGUCGAACGGCAGCACAGUAAGAGCUUGCUCUUACGGGUGGCGAGUGGCGGACGGGUGAGGAAUACAUCGGAAUCUACUUUUUCGUGGGGGAUAACGUAGGGAAACUUACGCUAAUACCGCAUACGACCUACGGGUGAAAGCAGGGGAUCUUCGGACCUUGCGCGAUUGAAUGAGCCGAUGUCGGAUUAGCUAGUUGGCGGGGUAAAGGCCCACCAAGGCGACGAUCCGUAGCUGGUCUGAGAGGAUGAUCAGCCACACUGGAACUGAGACACGGCCCAGACUCCUAUGGGAGGCAGCAGUGGGGAAUAUUGGACAAUGGGCGCAAGCCUGAUCCAGCCAUACCGCGUGGGUGAAGAAGGCCUUCGGGUUGUAAAGCCCUUUUGUUGGGAAAGAAAAGCAGCAGGUUAAUACCCCGCUGUUCUGACGGUACCCAAAGAAUAAGCACCGGCUAACUUCGUG
rnacentral:rRNA from 1 species